CUCCUUUUCCCCAUGGAUCCCAAACCAGUUCUCAUCCGUCAUCGCGCAAGGCAAUGGGGUGAACAUGGCCUGCACCUUCUCCAUGCUCAUGGCUUUGACGGGGGGCGGCGCUGCUAACCACUACCCGGCGGCAGCCUUGGGGCGGCGUGGCGGAGCGGGUGCUGGAGACGGGGGCGUCCACUGGUGCUGGAGACGGCAUCCAGCGAUGCUGCAACCGCUCGAGCAUGGCGCUGCCCACCAUGGGCACGGUGACCACGCCGAUGAGUGCUGCAACCGGCAAAAUGUUGGAACCGGCUGAGCCCGGUGCUGCGACGAGGCGGCGAUUUUUGGUGUGACGAAGUUUUUGCUGGAACCAGGGCACCAGGCAGCAGCGGUGCUACAACCAGCAACGAUAUUUGCUGGAACCGGCGCUCGUCGGUGCUGGAACUGGACGCCCCCUCUCACCGCGGACAUUUUUUUGCUGGAACCAACUUUAUGUUUUGCUGGAACUUGCUAAUUUUUUUGCUACAUCUACUUCUUUUUGGAUUUUGCUUCGUGUGUUUUUUGCUGAAUGGAAGUGCCUCGCACGGUCGGCGUGGAUUUUUGCUGGAACCAGCUCUAUGUUUUGCUGGUACUUGCUAUGUCUUUUGCUACAUCACUUCUUCAUGUGGUGGUGAUGGGUGAUGUUUUUGCUACAACUGGCGAGCAUUUUUUCUACGACCGGUAAUUUUUUUGCUGCUACCGGCAACCUGAGAGUGAGUACUCCUUUUCUGCGAGCUCGUUGUCGGCGUGCUAUAAUCGGCGCCACCGGAGUCGCGGCCGGCUACGACCGGCGCCACGGGGAGCUGCAACCGCGGGCGCACAUUGCUGCAUGCACAUAGCCGGCAAGAAACGCAGGAGGCAACAGCGGCUGCGACGAGGACGGCCGGCGGUGAGAGCAGCGACCGGCGGCGAGGGAAGCAACAGGAGAGACGUGCAGGCGGUGCUUCCAAGCCGGGCGCGUCGCUAGUCCAUGGCGGCACGCUUGAAGCUUUUUUUCUGAUGGAAGCUCUUUUUCUAAAAGAAAAAGACAUCCGAUAGAGGAAGGGACGAGAAUCGUGUGGCUACCUGCUGUUUGAUCCGACGUUGUUGGUGCGGCCGGCCCAAAUUUCGACCGGCGCACCGGCGCAUAUCACUCGACUUAAAUUUAUGAUCAAAAUUUGACACAAAAUAUAAUGGGAUCAAUAAACCAGGAAGAAGGUGGUAGGUCCUAGUAUUUAGACGGAGGCAACACAAUAUAUUUCAAAAAUGG
rnacentral:rRNA from 1 species